rnacentral:rRNA from 1 species
AACGAACGCUGGCGGCGUGGAUAAGACAUGCAAGUCGAACGGGAACUUCAGCUGUAGCAAUACAGUUGAAGUUUUAGUGGCGAACGGGUGCGUAACACGUGGGCAAUCUGCCGAGAAGUGGGGGAUAGCUCGCCGAAAGGCGAAUUAAUACCGCAUAUGAUCAGCUAAGACAUCUUAGCGACAUCAAAGCCGGGGCAACCUGGCGCUUUUUGAGGAGCCCGCGGCCUAUCAGCUAGUUGGUGAGGUAACGGCUCACCAAGGCUAUGACGGGUAGCUGGUCUGAGAGGACGACCAGUCACACUGGAACUGAGACACGGUCCAGACACCUACGGGUGGCAGCAGUCGAGAAUUUUUCUCAAUGGGGCAACCCUGAAGGAGCGACGCCGCGUGGAGGAUGAAGGCUUUCGGGUUGUAAACUCCUGUCAUUUGAGAACAAGGUGCA